CUGUGUUUUUUUUCCUCCGUGUUACAAACUAUUUAAUGAUGUUUCUGUACUUUAAUUUCUCUGUUAUUUUAUUGAUCUUUGAUGGGAAGAUAUUCUGUUACGUUUGUGUUGAUAUUUUCGUUGUAAUUUUCGCUCAAAGUAUGUACAUUAGCGCCAUUAAUGUCCGCGAUCGUUAUGAAGUUAACAGGUGCUAACGAGCCUAUUGUGUCGCAGGAAUGCCGUUCGCUUCGACCCCUUGCAGUGUGCCUCAUUGUGUCCGCCCUGUCAGAUAUAAGAAGUUGGGGUUGGGGUUGAUGAUCCACAUGAUGGUGAUGGACCAGGACAGCUCUGGACCUCCUGACUGGCAGCUCUAUCCUCAACCUCCCUUCCUGUCCUUCACACAUGUGCAGGCAGAGAGGCAGUUUUCUGAAGGAUGGUUAAUGUCAGUACCAACAUGUUGUGAUGGAGGCUUCCACCUGAGCUGAACACAGAAACUUGCACACAGUGAUGGAAGCAGUCGUUCCUGUUCAGCAUUGAUAUGCCGGUAAUGGGUUUGAUGAACCACAGCAUGGUGAUGGGCAAUCAGCAUCAGGACCAGGGCCGCUCACAAGGAGAACCUCCUGCCUUGCCUCUUCAUCCUCAACCUCCAGUCUUCCUGCUCUUCACACAUGUGCAGGCACAGAGCCAGUUUUCAGAGGGAGGGCUGAUGACACCAGCAACUUCGGAUCUGAACCUGAUCAACCCAGCACCAACCACUGUGCCGCUCCUCCUCUGCCAACUGCACCACAUGGCUCCACCAUCUCAAAAAGGCACAGACACUACUCCACUUCCUGCGAAGGAUGAGAGAAGAGCCGACCUCCCCACAACGGCACUCACCACCUUCUACAGGGGUGUCAUUGAGAGCAUCCUGACCAGCAGCCUCUCUGUCUGGCAUGGCAGCCGUCAAGCUGAAGACUAGAAGGCAGUACAGAGAGUGGUGAGGACAGCAGAAAAGCUCAUAAGAUCACCCCUACCUGUUCUCCCUACUACCAUCAGGGAAGCGCUAGCCCAGCAUGCGGUGCUGCAAAAGCACACUGGGAAACGGCUUCUUUCCACAAGCCAUCAGACUCCUCAACGCACUGAAGAAAACCACAUGAAUAACCAAGGACACGGGAGAAUAUUCCAUGAACACUUCUUUCACCAUGCCACUUACACUUUACUCAUUGCACCUUGUAUACAGCAUCUUCACAUGCCGUGUGUGUGUGUGUCCACUGUGUUUGUGUAUUUAUUGUCCAUCAGUAUGUUAAUCUUAUUAUUGCACACUGUUUGGGUGUCUGUGUGAGUGUAUUUAUAGUAUGUAUCAGUCUGUAUUUAAUGCCAAUGCCUUAUUUUUAGUUAUUAGUUAAAUGCACAUUGGAGACUGGUCAAACACAAUUUCAAACUUUGUGUUAACCCUCCAUAGAUUUUUGUCAAAAAAUGGAGUCUAAUCUACUGUACUACACAGGCUAUCAACAGACCACACAGUUGAGGUGACCGUUCACACUUCAUAGUGUAAAAGUAAACAGAAAUAAAUUCACAUUUCAUUCCUGUCUCGUUCACUUCUUUCAGCAAUGUAUGUGGCCUACAUGCAGGGAAGCUGACAGGGGGGACAAAGGGGUCCGUUGACCUGGGCCCAGUGAGACGAGGGGUCCAGGAAUGGGUCCUCAUUACAUUGUAUGUAGUCUAUGUAUUGAGUGGGGGGCCCUUUCAGAUGACUUUGUCCUGGGCAAAGCCAAAGCUGUCAGUGGCCCUGAUUAUGUAUGCACAAACACUGGUUAUGAUGAUAGGAAAAGUUUUCUCUGUUUUCUGAUGGCCUUUGAAUUAAGACAGGCCAAUCUGGAACCUCUCCUGGAUAAAGUGUAAGCUUCAAUGGUGUGGUCACUCCUAAAUCAUAGACAGACAUGGAGUAUGGUAGGCCUAUGGUAAUGAAGAAAUCGUUUUUCUCCAAUAAAACAAACAAAUAGCCUAUUGCUAUUUCAAAUA